rnacentral:tRNA from 1 species
GCCGCCGUAGCUCAGGUGGAAGAGCACUUCCUUGGUACGGAAGAGGUCCGGGGUUCGACUCCCCGCAGCGGCUCCA